UCCCAGGUAGCUUAGUGUUAAGGAAUCUGCCUGCCAAUGCAGAAGGCCUGGGUUUGAUCCCUGGGUUGGGAA
rnacentral:tRNA from 1 species